GGCUGGCUAGCUCAGCUGGUUAGAGCGUGGUGCUAAUAACACCAAGGUCAUGGGUUCAAGCCCCAUGCUGGCUA
rnacentral:tRNA from 1 species